UAUGGCAAAUUAUCAAAGGUGUGUAAGAGGCAAACUGCACCAGUUCCCUUAAUUUCCCACCGAUUUUCAUGAAAAUUGCAUUGAUGCAAAGGGUUUUUAAUUUAGAACCAAAAAUGUAUCUAUAAAAAAAAUAAAAAAUUGGAAAUUUCCAGAGUUACAGGAAUAUUUUCAAAAAUAUGGCAAAUUAUCAAAGGUGUGUAAGAGGCAAACUGCACCAGUUCCCUUAAUUUCCCACCGAUUUUCAUGAAAAUUGCAUUGAUGCAAAGGGUUUUUAAUUUAGAACCAAAAAUGUAUCUAUAAAAAAAAUAAAAAAUUGGAAAUUUCCAGAGUUACAGGAAUAUUUUCAAAAAUAUGGCAAAUUAUCAAAGGUGUGUAAGAGGCAAACUGCACCAGUUCCCUUAAUUUCCCACCGAUUUUCAUGAAAAUUGCAUUGAUGCAAAGGGUUUUUAAUUUAGAACCAAAAAUGUAUCUAUAAAAAAAAUAAAAAAUUGG
rnacentral:lncRNA from 1 species